GAUGAAGAACGUAGCGAAACGCGAUAGUUAAUGUGAAUUGCAGAAUUCAGUGAAUCAUCGAGUCUUUGAACGCACAUUGCGCCCCCUGGUAUUCCGGGGGGCAUGCCUGUCCGAGCGUCAUUGCUGCCCAUCAAGCGCGGCUUGUGUGUUGGGCCGCCGUCCGCCUUCCCCCCCGGGGGGAGGGGGACGGGCCCGAAAGGCAGCGGCGGCACCGCGUCCGGUCCUCGAGCGUAUGGGGCUCUGUCACCCGCUCUGGAGGCCCGGCCGGCGCCCGCCGACCCCCAACCUUCUUCUAACAGGUUGACCUCGGAUCAGGUAGGGAUACCCGCUGAACUUAAGCAUAUCAAUAAGCGGAGGA
rnacentral:misc_RNA from 1 species